rnacentral:lncRNA from 1 species
UAAUCAUAAAGAAAAUCACAACAUCAAUUAUAUAUGAGAUUAAUAUAAACAACUAGGGAGAAAGUUAGAAAUACUAACAAACUUGGAGAUUGAGGCUUGCAUAAAUGCAAUGUCCUAAAGACAGAAUUUCGCCCUACUCUUGCACUUGUAGUUUGGUAGGCGUUUGUCUCCCAGGAUUCAACAAUCUAUAAUCUGAAGUCAAAGCACUUCAAUCUUCGGACUCUGGCGAACUUCAUAUAUUCCGUACUCUCAAGACACGACUUGGAAUUUGACACAUGAAGCAUGAGAGAAAUAAAGUGGGGAAACCCUAUUUCUCAAGAGUAAAAAUUAACUCUAAUUUCUAUAUUAAUGAUGAUAGUUUCAUGAGUUUAUAAAGAACCCAAGUACUCCUUGUUAAAGUGAUGUUACUUUUCAUCUAUAAGUAUACAUCAUUUAACAAGGGAAUGCACCUAAAUAACAUAACCUUUCUAAGAAAUAUGGUUAACACUAUUUUUCAUUCAAUUAUUAAAAUUAUAUAUUACAAUAUUUUAUACUAUAAUAUAUAAUUUCCAACAAUCCCCCACAUGAAUGAAAAAUCAGGAAUAAUUUGAGAGUACAGGCGGACAAGAGAUGCAUCGGGAGAGGUGUCUUUUGGACUUGAACCUACCCUAGUGAAUACUUAUCGGAUUUACUUGGUGACGCGGUGAAUAUAAAAUCUUGAAUGUUCAUCGCAGUAGUAAACCGAGACAAUAAGCAACACACAUCACUAAUCCUAAUAUAUUCCGGUUCAUACGCUUGUGUUCAUUUUGGUCCUGAACAAAUCUCAUAUUCAUGAGAGCUUUAGAGAAGUUAGCCAUCUCAUACUCAUAGAAGCGACCCACUUCUACUCUCACAUAGGUGAUCACUGAUUAAGAAUAGUCUGCUCUAUUACUCUUAUUUAUAAGAUAUCACUGUCAUUAAGUAUAAAUAUACACCCUAAAACUUCUGUAGACAACACACUUCUUCCAUCAUAGGAAUGAGGUAUGUAGUGUGUUAACUUCUUUGAAUCAUGCCCAACCAGUUUGCCUAUUGAACUUAGACCAUGGGAUCUCCAAUCAACUAAGUUAAGUUUCCGCUCGGCUGAUUCAUUAGUUAUGUUGGCUUUAGCCUCAUUCCCCUCAAUGAUCACCUUACUCUCUAGUCUAACCUUUAACAAUUGGUACCAUUUAGGUUGACUAUUUCUAAUGUUGGCCAAAAUAUUCCAUCAUGCAUGAAAUAAAUUUCAUCAAGAGUAGUUGUUUUUCAGUUUUAAGUCAUCAAAACAUAUGUUGGACUUACUAAUAAGUAAUUUGCUAGAAAACAGACUUCCCCCACAUUUAAGGUAAUUGAAAGAAGGUCUCUAACCUCUUCACACCUUAAAACUCAAAAGAAUAUGAGAAUAUUAUCUCUCUUUACAUGCAAAUUACUCCUUCUAAUUUGUUCUUUGCCUUAUUCGCAAACCAUCUCAAUACAUGCAUAAGAUUAUCCCCUACAACAUUUUGAAGCCAACGUGCUUCCUAUCCGGAUUGUAAAGUACUUUCAUAGGAGGAUUUCUUUAUUGAAAUGAAUGUAUUUCCACCUAUGUACUUUGCCUUCACAUUGUCAAUGAUUCAAUUAGUUAGCAUUAUUGAAUUCACCUAGUACAUAUGAAUGCUCUUAACUAUGAAUAACACAACCCAAUGGCUAUGUACAUUCGAUUUAUAUGCUAACUUAAUAAGCAUCAUCUUGUCUAAUUCAAUUAUGUAUGCUUACUGAAUAAGCAUUAUUUAUGUGUUUAGUCAUUCCUUUUACGAAAGACCCCACACUUUAACUCAUUGGUGUAAGAGAAAAGACAUUUUCUUGGUGAUAAUAAAAGGAGAUCCUUUAUGCCCUCAUGCCCAAUUAAUUGAUAAAUUCAAAUAUCGAAGAAACCCAGAAGUCAAAACCUGUUCAUUUACUCAUCUCACUUCUUUCUCAGGGCUCUGUCCAAAAUGAGUUCAUCUCUGCGCAAAACCAAAUAUAGGAUUUUGUGACAGCAAUAUCUUCAGUGUAUGAAAAUACCCAAUUCACAGAUAAGCACCCACCAACCCAUGUACAUAUGUUUUUCUCAAGAGCUUCAACUUCAAGGCUGGUGGUGACUGAUAGGAGAGGUUAUAUUCACUGCCAAAUGCAGACACAUAUCACAUGACAUGCCUUUUCCUUUGAAGUUUGAAUCUUGCAUGGUAGAUUCAUCUUUCCAUUUUAUUUUAUUUUAUAUUUUUCCUUUCACCACAUUACAUGGGCAAAAAACAUAUUCCUAAUGAUAUGCAGAAACCGAUCGACCAAAAUUAAGCCAUGGAUUUAAGCACUUAAGCCUAAUCCUGGCUUCAAUAAUUUUCAAUGAUGCCGCAGUUUGCAUCUUCAAUAUUUGCAGCGUUAAUAUACUCACCAAGCAAAUAUACAUAUCAAGGCAUCUUUCACCAAUAGAUGCUAAACAAACCGAGUGUUUCCAUCCUCCAACCAAACCUACCAUGACUCUGCCAUUUGCUUUCACAAAAUGCAAGCAUCUGUAUUUGCAUGCAGAAGACCAAUCAUUGUGUAGGGCUUGGUUUUUCCAGGCAAGGAAUGUUACUUUCCCAAUAAAAAGAUUUGCUUUAUCUUAGUUUUGUUCUCAGGCGAUAAUCGUUACUUUUCAAAAUUGAAACCGUUUCUUCUUGUUUGCGCCAUAUCACAUUUUCAUGAAGGGUCGCAACUCUUCAUGGAGGUUUGCAGAAAAUUUAGCUAACUUUCUCAGACAAACCGCUAAUUCUUUAUAACAAAAGAAAAUCACAUCUUAUAUGCAUUCAUGAGAAUUAAUAAACUUUUCAACCAAUGUAAGUAGAGAAGAUAACUUUCAUAUAGUGACUUUUCAAGUACAACAAAGCCAAUUGAUGCCAUUCAAAUGGCACCAUCACUGCAACCGAAGGUUACAGUUUGAGACGAACCGAAUUAAUGACUCCACGAUUGAAGCGAUCAUGCCUUUUUGUCAAAUUCUAUCAAGAAUAUGACCAUACUCAUGAUAUCACUGCAAGUUUUAGUUAUGCCUGUUAAACACGAAUUUUUAUGCAACAUGCCUUGUGUCAAAACACAAUAUCUAAUGUAAUUGCAAUAUGUCUGACACAUCAAAAGAGUCAAUACCAUACAUGCACUGGCGAAAGGUUAUGACCUUUCAGAUUUUUGCAACGAGAAACAGUUAUACACCUGCCCAUGCCUUGCACGCAUAAUGUUCAAACUUCUCAUGUACCAAUGAUAUGCUAUCUCGUGCAAAUUAAUAAUGAAAUAUAAUUAUGAAGGAGAAACAACUCCUUCUAUAUUGCCGUCUAUAUCACUUCAUGUCCUUUUCUUUCCCAGAAAAUAAGUGUAUGCACAAAGUAAAACUAUUUUAUUAAAGCAACAUGCAGACUAUUUUAUUGAAGCAACAUGCAAACACUGCUCUUACGUAUACAGAUGAAUAUAUUUAGAUAUGUAUCAUGUUUAACAAUACUAUAUUAUGUAUACCGACUAUACAUGAAUAAGCCAAAUAAACUGCAGCCCCACCGAGACAUACCUUUUUCCGUAGAAAACCAUAGUUUCUCCGACUUAGGGUUAGGGUUACGUUCAAUGUUGUUGAUCUUAAAAUCUUCUAACACUCACAUUCAUACAUACUUCUAAUAUAUUGCAUAAUACAUUAUCUGUCUUUAGAUUGUUGGAGCAAUAUUAGAAAAUAUGAAAAAUAACAAUAUAAUUCCAAUGAUAAUAAUCAUAAAGAAAAUCACAACAUCAAUUAUAUUUGAGAUUAAUAUAAACAACUAGGGAGAAAGUUAGAAAUACUAACAAACUUGGAGAUUGAUGCUUGCAUAAAUGCAAUGUCCUAAAGACAGAAUUUCGCCCCUACUCUUGUGCUUGUAGUUCGGUAGGUGUCUGUCUCCCAAGAUUCAACAAUCUAUAAUCCGAAGUCAAAGCACUUCAAUCUUCGGACUUUGGCGAACUUCAUAUAUUCCGUACCCUCAAGACACGACUCGGAAUUUGACACACGAAGCAUGAGAGAAAUAAAGUGGGGAAACCCUAUUUCUCAAUAGUAAAAAUUAACUCUAAUUUCUAUAUUAAUGAUGAUGGUUUCAUGAGUUUAUAAAGAACCCAAGUACUUCUUGUUAAAGUGAUGUUACUUUUCAUCUAUAAGUAUAAUACAUCAUUUAACAAGGGAAUGCACCUAAAUAAUAUAACCUUUCUAAGAAAUAUGGUUAACACUAUUUUUCAUUCAAUUAUUAAAAUUAUAUAUUACAAUAUUUUAUACUAU